UCACAUUCUACAAAUUUCCAUCACAUCCGUACUUUAUACAGAUCCAAGCAACCUACAACAUUACGUAUUCAAGCAUUCAGCUGCUGAAAUACUCUAGAACAGGAAAAGAAUAAAUAGAACUAUCUAGUGCUUCACAACAAGAAAACAUGUAGUCUGCUUCUUCAAGUACUGCUUCUUCCUUAGCAAUGACAUGCUGAUGCAAAACAUCUGGGCAUUCAAAAGAGAACAAAAAUUAUGUCACUGAUAUAAGAAAUAUUACACGAAUACUUUUAAAAUAAAAACUAAAAGUACAUGAGAUGGAAACAAUUAAUUUGAGAUGGAAAGUUAGCCAACAAAAUUUAUAUAGAAGUUCUUUUUGCAAUACAAUUAUCUUAUGUACAUAUGAAUGACACCCAAGUAAUUUGAGAUGGAAACAAGUACAUCUAGCAAUCUAACAUGUAUAGUGGCACCAGCAAAAGAGAAAGACAUGGAAGAAUUUUAGCUUUACAUAAUGUUUACAAGAAUAGGACCCUGAUACAGGAUUUAGCUUGUCCUCAACACUGUUAACAAGGUACUGAAAGUAGCUAUGUGCAUCAGCCUCACCAAGUCUUAUCAUGAAUUGGUUGCUUUUAAAAACUAUACUAUAUUUCUGGACAGCAAACUAAAUAGACGGCUGCUCUCAAACCGUACAUCCAAACAAAGCAAAUAAGUACUCUACGGAAACCUUAGAACAUGCUUUACAACUCAUAUGUAGAGGCCAACUUGAAAUUAUGAGCAUAACGAACUCGUUUUUUUAGUUAGAAGCUCGCUGUCCAAAACUGUCAGGUAGUGCAGUUUUUUAACUGAACCAAAUUCAGUUUACACAGAGGUAAGGAACUACUUCAAAAACUGAGGUAAGUAAGGAACUACUUCAAAAACAGAGGUGCUAACUAUGUUUACACAGAAAAACUGUACUAUAUUUCCGCCGAUUCAGUAAAGCGUAUAAAUAGGUUCAGACCAAUUGGUAAAAUGAAAUCUACUCCAUGAGAUUUAGUCAACUUUAGGGAGUAUCGCAGAUUCAGACCAAUAUUUGCAAGCAUGUAAAUACUGGUUCAACACUAGGGAGUACUGACUUUUGGUGGCAGAAAGAAAGCAAACUCAAUUUGGCAAGCAGUGCAAUGCCAAGUGAAUUUAGUCAAACAUGCAAGUGAAUUUAGAGUAGUAGCACUAGGGACUAGGGACUGACAGCAGUAGCACUAGAUUCAAUCAAGUGAAAGUGAAUUUAGAGCAGCAGCAAAAUCAGGGAAUGUGAGAGAGGUAGAGGGAGGCUCAACCAUGAAUUGCUG
rnacentral:lncRNA from 1 species